rnacentral:rRNA from 1 species
CCUACGGGUGGCAGCAGUGGGGAAUAUUGGACAAUGGGGGCAACCCUGAUCCAGCCAUGCCGCGUGUGUGAAGAAGGCCCUCGGGUUGUAAAGCACUUUCAGUGAGGAAGAACGCCUGGUGGUUAAUACCCAUCAGGAAAGACAUCACUCACAGAAGAAGCACCGGCUAACUCCGUGCCAGCAGCCGCGGUAAUACGGAGGGUGCGAGCGUUAAUCGGAAUUACUGGGCGUAAAGCGCGCGUAGGUGGCUUGAUAAGCCGGUUGUGAAAGCCCCGGGCUCAACCUGGGAACGGCAUCCGGAACUGUCAAGCUAGAGUGCAGGAGAGGAAGGUAGAAUUCCCGGUGUAGCGGUGAAAUGCGUAGAGAUCGGGAGGAAUACCAGUGGCGAAGGCGGCCUUCUGGACUGACACUGACACUGAGGUGCGAAAGCGUGGGUAGCAAACAGGAUUAGAUACCCCAGUAUC